UUGGAGGAUGUAUAGCGAUAGCUAAUUGCAUCGAAAAUAUGAUGCAAGAUCGAUUUAUUGAAUAAAAUUCUGGGUAGAAUUAUGAUUAUGACAUUGUCUACCCAUGUGUCUUGACCAAAUUACGUGCCAGCAGUCGCGGUAAUACGUAGAAGACUAGUGUUAUUCAUCUUUAAUAGGUUUAAAGGGUACCUAGACGGUAAAUCAAGCCCUAGACGGGACUAAUUUGCUAGAGUUACUUGUGAGGGGGUUUUAAAGUACUAAUGGUGUAGAGAUGAAAUUUUGUAAUACCAUUUUUCGAAAGGAAAGUAAUGGCACAGAUAUAGGCGAAAGCAUCCCCUUAUGUGAUAACUGACGUUGAAGGACGAAGGCUUUGAGUCGCGAACAGGAUUAGAUACCCUGGUAGUCAAAGCAGAAAAUAAUGAGUGUCAUAGAUUAGAUAUUAAAGUUUAUUCUAUAAAUGAAAGUGUAAGCACUCCACCUCAAGAGUAAUUUGGCAACAUUGGAACUGAAAUCAUUAGACCGUUUCUGAAACCAGUAGUGAAGUAUGUUGUUUAAUUUGAUAAUCCGCAAAAAACCUUACCACAAUUUGAAUAUUUAUAUCGUUGAUAUAAUUACAAGCGUUGCACGGCUGUCUUCAGUUAAUGUCGUGAGAUUUUGGUUAGAUCCAUUAAAUUAACGCAAGCCCUUACUUUAUUUUAAAAUAAAGUCGUUCCCCACUAGAUUGGAUAAGAUAACAGGGAUUAAGACAAGUCAUCAUGGCCUGAAUAUUGUGGGCUAUAG
rnacentral:rRNA from 1 species